ensembl:lncRNA
GCCAGUCUCUCACUGUUUACAACAGAGAAUUAUAACGACAUCUGCUGUAGAGUCCCAACCCCCUGGGACCUGCAAACAACAAUGUCACAAAGAAGGAUUUCAAUGUUUUUUGCUCCAAAAGUGGUUGGCAGCCAAGGAGGUAUGAUAGCAGAUAAGGAUGCAGUCAGGGUUCAUGCAGGAGACCAAAGGGAGGAGAGUGCAAGUUCAGAGGAUGAUGGACCAGCUCCUACGGCCUCACCAGUCCUACGCCACUGCCUACAUCGAUGACAUCAUCUCCACAGCGACAGCUGGGACGUCCACAUCCGGCAGCUGCGGGCCGUUCUGGGGGAGCUACGGAAGGCGGGCAUCACAAGCUCUUACUUGACUGUUUUCAGUCUGUGUUUUUAGUUUCAUGGCACAUAAUGAUG